rnacentral:rRNA from 1 species
GAUGCCACGUGCGCAGCCUGAUCCAGCCAUGCCGCGUGCGGAUGACGGUCCUAUGGAUUGUAAACUGCUUUUAUACAGGAAGAAACCCCUCUACGUGUAGAGGCUUGACCGGAUGUCAAGAAUAAGGAUCGGCUAACUCCGUGCCAGCAGCCGCGGUAAUACGAUACGGGCCUGUCCUGAAAAUGU